AAAGUAUGUACUAAAGUAAUUUU
rnacentral:snRNA from 1 species